UGUAUGUGUGUGUGCAUGUAUGUGGGUAUAUAUUUUAGCAGAUAUACACACACACACACACACACAUACAUACACACACACAC
rnacentral:miRNA from 1 species